GAUGAACGCUGGCGGCGUGCCUAAUACAUGCAAGUCGAGCGAACGGACGAGAAGCUUGCUUUUCUGAUGUUAGCGGCGGACGGGUGAGUAACACGUGGAUAACCUACCUAUAAGACUGGGAUAACUUCGGGAAACCGGAGCUAAUACCGGAUAAUAUUUUGAACCGCAUGGUUCAAAAGUGAAAGACGGUCUUGCUGUCACUUAUAGAUGGAUCCGCGCUGCAUUAGCUAGUUGGUAAGGUAACGGCUUACCAAGGCAACGAUGCAUAGCCGACCUGAGAGGGUGAUCGGCCACACUGGAGCUGAGACACGGUCCAGACUCCUACGGGAGGCAGCAGUAGGGAAUCUUCCGCAAUGGGCGAAAGCCUGACGGAGCAACGCCGCGUGAGUGAUGAAGGUCUUCGGAUCGUAAAACUCUGUUAUUAGGGAAGAACAUAUGUGUAAGUAACUGUGAACAUCUUGACGGUACCUAAUCAGAAAGCCACGGCUAACUACGUG
rnacentral:rRNA from 1 species